AUCUUUGUUCUUGCUGAUAGAAAUUGUAGCUUUAUGGCUUUAUCUGACUCUAUACAUAUAUAGAAUUGAAGAGUUUUUAUUAUGUCCCGUGCCCUGGUCAUUAAACAUUUACAUCGUAAAGCAUGUGCCACCAAUGUGACUAAGAUAAAUUAUCAAUUUUUUGAAAUAAUUAUGUUUGGAGUCUAAUAUUAGACUAAAAAAUGUCAAAUUUAUGAUUAAUAGAAAAAAAAAUUGGAAUGAGCUAACUAAAACACAAUCUAUUUUAAGUUAGGUAAAAAAAGUAAUUUUGUAAAAUUAACAAGGUUUUAGUUUUGAUUUUUUUUCUUAGCAGGGGUAUAUGUUUAAAAAAAAACAUUUCCUGGCCAGUUUCUUCUUCUUAUUCAAGAAAAUUAUGACCAUUUUAGGUUGACAUUCUUGUGUAAAAGGAUGAAAAUAUUGCAAUUUUUUCUGUGAUAUUGUUUGAUUUCAGAUACCCUUUACCACUAAAUGUUCUAGAAUGGCUUUAUAGUAUAUGUACAUAUUGUUUAAAUAACAAAGCUCAUUUUUGUACCAAAUAGAAAUAUUUUCGAGUACAUGGAACUAAUCCACUUAACUCUGAAAAAUCCCAGGUUAAACUAUUGCAAACCAAAGAUCAUACUUAGUAAUUUAAAUAAAUUGCCUGGUUUUAUACCUGGCUUAUGACUGUAUAUACUGUUGAUAUUGAUAUCGCCAUUUGUAAAUGUACCUGUUGAAUGUUGAUCAGUGCUUAUUUUGCUGGCUUUUAUAUCAUCUUACGUAAAUAUUGGACAUUUUUUGACUUUAUUAUAUCAUUUGUUGACUUUUUUUUAUAAAUAUGUAAAAUGAAUUUGUUAUAUUAAUCAGAUAUUUUAUUAAAUCAGUUUAAUUUGGCAUAAGAA